UAUUUUUUUAAUAUUGAAUGAAUUUUGUACUCUAUAUUUGAACGUAUUUAUAGUCUUAGGCUCCAUUUGGUCAUCACAUUAAUAUUUAUGAAAGCAUUUUUUUUAAAACCAAAUGGAGACUAAGCCCUUUUUUAACUCCGCCAAUGCAACUCCUUGCAUUGCUAGUCCCAAGCCCGGGUAAAGGAGGAGGGAGAAGGGCUUUAGAAUGAAUCGUCAACUAUGGAGGAGAUCCUGAAAAUGCAGUGAGUAUCUCUAGUUUUAUGGUUUUACUUGUACAUUCCUGUAUUGAUUACUCAAGCAUGACGGUUAUACGCAUUCUUUCAGGUGAAUGUUGCAUGUGGGAGGGUUGGAGCUACAUAUUUCAGAUUCAAGCAUCUGGAUGAUGGAAUAUACGAAGCUGUUGAAAUUUCAGGGUGAAGUUGAGCACAUUUCUCUAAUGAAGCCAAAGAUUUGUAUUUUCAGCAUUAUUGUAAUUGUAACUGUAAUUGAUUGAAUGAUUUGGAUUGUAAUUGUAAUUGAUUGAAUGAAGGAUUGUAAUUGCAAUUGAUUGAAUGAAGGAUUGUAAUUGAAUG